rnacentral:lncRNA from 1 species
GACCUCUUCAUAUGUUAAUUGCGCGUCGUUUGUCAUUUAUCAAAACCUAAAAAUAUGAACACACGUUUAGUUUAGUGCCUUGAGAACGUGUUUCAACAAUUAUUAACCAGCAAGUACUUUCCAUUAUUCAUAUUAAAACCAAAUCGGCAUGCUCAAACCACCUUUCUUAUAACCAAGAUUUUCCUACUAUGACUCGAAACCAAAGAACAAUACUAACAACAAACAAAACAAUCAUAUUUCGGAAAGAAGAAGAAGAAGAACACUGCAGGGUGGCAUGUUUUAUACAACCUACUGAGCACUGAUAAACCAUUCCCAUUGUUUUGUUACUUUAACCAUCAAUCAAACAAAAAACAAAAAAAAUAAAGCAAAUUUGAAUCUUUAAACUAGCUAAGAAUCCAAAGAAACAUUACAAAAAUAAGCAGAAUCUAACUUCAUUCAUACUCAAAAUCCAAGGAAAUCAGCUUUUAUUUAAAAAAACACAGCUCAAAAUCAAGAAUACAAGGUUUAGAAAAAAUACCUAGAAAAAGGAAGGAAUAACGAGCUCAAAGAAAUAAGGAAGUCUGCAGUAGCUUAGCUCAAACCAAAUAGCAGUGAAUCCAGAACAAAACUUUGUUUCAGCUUCAGAAGAAAAAACCAGCAAAUGACUCCAAAAUAGCAAGAAAACUGGGAAAUUUCUUCAGAAUCUUUUGGGAAAGAGCUAAUUACACCCGUUUGUGUUUU